AUGGGAACGCGAAGAACCUUACCUACUCUUGACAUCCAGAGAACUUAGCAGAGAUGCUUUGGUGCCUUCGGGAACUCUGAGACAGGUGGUGCAUGGUUGUCGUCAGCUCGUGUUGUGAAAUGUUGGGUUAAGUCCCGCAACGAGCGCAACCCUUAUCCUUUGUUGCCAGCGGUUAGGCCGGGAACUCAAAGGAGACUGCCAGUGAUAAACUGGAGGAAGGUGGGAUGACGUCAAGUCAUCAUGGCCCUUACGAGUAGGGCUACACACGUGCUACAAUGGCGCAUACAAAGAGAAGCGACCUCGCGAGAGCAAGCGGACCUCAUAAAGUGCGUCGUAGUCCGGAUUGGAGUCUGCAACUCGACUCCAUGAAGUCGGAAUCGCUAGUAAUCGUAGAUCAGAAUGCUACGGUGAAUAC
rnacentral:rRNA from 1 species